rnacentral:snRNA from 1 species
AUGGCUUAGACAAUGGCCA